rnacentral:rRNA from 1 species
GGCGAAUGAAGCGGGAAGAGCUCAAAUUUAAAAUCUGCGUCGCUUGCGACGCCGAAUUGUAGUUUCGAGAUGCACUUUCUAGGCGGGUCCGGGGCCGUCCAAGUUGCUUGGAACAGCACGUCAUAGAGGGUGACAACCCCGUCUGUGGCGGAACCGGCCGCUGACGAUGUGUAUUCGACGAGUCGGGUUGUUUGGGAAUGCAGCCCAAAAUGGGUGGUAAACUCCAUCUAAAGCUAAAUACUGGCACGAGACCGAUAGCGAACAAGUACCGUGAGGGAAAGAUGAAAAGCACUUUGAAAAGAGAGUUAAACAGUACGUGAAACCGUUAAAAGGGAAACGGAUGGGGUCAGCAAUGCGCUCUGCGAGAUUCAGCCGGGCGGCGCGUCGGGCGGACGGUUAGCGGAUCUGAAUGGACCGCUGCCGUUCGGUUCGGCGCCUCGACCGUCGCACUUCUCGCAAGCGCGCGCCAGCGUCGGUUGGAACUGGGUUUUAAAGUCUUGGGCAAGGUAGGCCGGUUCCCUCGGGAGACGGCUGUUAUAGGCCCUCGUCGUAUGGCCCGGAUCCGACCGAGGUGUCGCGGCACGUGCCUCCCUUCGGGGUUGGCUGGGGUGCCGUCUUGCCGGUCGGUAGUCGAAUGUGGUGGACUGCGUGCAGUGCGCCGCGACCGCUGCCGGUCGCCGAGGCGGUGACCUCGCACUACGUGCCAAGGACGCUGGCGGUCAAAUGGCCUCAUUCGACCCGUCUUGAAACACGGACCAAGGAGUCUAACAUGUGCGCGAGUCUUCGAGUGAAUGAAGCUCGCCGGCGCAAUGAAAGUGAAGGUGGCCUCGUGCCGCCGAGGCGAGAGCCUGCCCCUCGGGGUGGGUGCAUCGUCGACCGACCUAUUCCGCUCUCGGGAAGGUUUGAGUGA